UGAAGGUUAUAGUCCACUACAA
rnacentral:siRNA from 1 species